ACCUCCCGGGGGUGUCCCCAGGCUUUGGGGACCCCUCUGUGUGUCCUGUCCUGUGUCACCCGUGUCACCUGUGUCCCCUCCCGUGUCACCUGUGUCACCUGUGUCCCCUCCCGUGUCACCUGUGUCACUCCUGUGUCACCUGUGUCCCCUCCUGUAUUUCCUCCCGUGUCACCUGUGUCCCCUCCCGUGUCACCUGUGUCACUUCUGUGUCCCCUCCUGUGUCACUUCUGUGUCCCCUCCUGUGUCACCUGUGUCACCCUCCUGUGUCACCUGUGUCACUCCUGUGUCACCUGUGUCACUUCUGUGUCCCCUCCUGUGUCACUUCUGUGUCACCUGUGUCUCCUCCUGUGUCACCUGUGUCACUUCUGUGUCACCUCUGUCACUCCUGUGUCACCUGUGUCACCUCUGUCACUCCUGUGUCACCUGUGUCCCCUCCCGUGUCACCUGUGUCACUCCUGUGUCACCUGUGUCCCCUCCUGUGUCACCUGUGUCACUUCUGUGUCACCUCUGUCACUCCUGUGUCACCUGUGUCCCCUCCUGUGUCACUCCUGUGUCACCCGUGUCACUCCUGUGUCACUUCUGUGUCCCCUCCCGUGUCACCUGUGUCACUUCUGUGUCACCCUCCUGUGUCACCUGUGUCCCCUCCUGUGUCACCUGUGUCACCUCCUGUGUCACCUGUGUCACCUGUGUUGUCACCUGUGUCACCUCUGUCACUCCUGUGUCACCUGUGUCCCCUCCCGUGUCACCUGUGUCACUCCUGUGUCACCUCUGUCACUCCUGUGUCACCUGUGUCACCUCUGUCACUCCUGUGUCACCUGUCCCCUCCUGUGUCACUCCUGUGUCACCUGUGUCCCCUCCUGUGUCACCCCUGUCACUCCUGUGUCAUCUCCCAUGUCACCUGUGUCACUCCUGUGUCACCUGUGUGCCCUCCUGUGUCACCCCUGUCACUCCUGUGUCACCUGUCCCCACCUGUGUCACUCCUGUGUCCCCUGUGUCACCCUCCGGGGAUGUCCCCAAGCUUUGGGGACCCCUCUGUGUGUCCCCUCCCCCCCACCCCUGGGUGGGUUUG
rnacentral:lncRNA from 1 species